CAGCAAAGCUAGGGUAUAGUGACCCUCCAUCUGUGCAGGUGUCUGUCUUGUGUUGUCUUACAGACAACAUAAAAAAAGACCCCCACGAAAAAGAGGGUCAGGGUUAUAAACUUCCAGACAGGAAUUUCCUUUGAUUUGGUCUCAUUUAUUUGAAUUUUCUUUGUAGUUUCUUGAGUCUUUGAAGAAAAAACUAUUUCACCAUGAAUUCAUGGUAAAUUCAUCACCAUAAGCGGAUGCUGUGCAUCCUUGCUGAAGACAUGGCAACAUCUCUGGCCCAGCAACUCUGCCAAAGGACGGGGCUGAAACCCCCUACCCUGGCAACUCUUGGAGUGCUGCUGGCCCUGGCUCUGCUCACCCUUGACCACCUGUCCCCACCACUGGACCACUCCUCCCACCCACUACUGGCAUCAUCCCCCCUCAGGUCCCCAGAGGGAGGCAGCCACCCCCUGUCUGGGAUACAAGUCCACAGUGAAAGGCUCCCUGUACCCCCACUCACCUGUGGUGGCACCAGCCCCCCAGCCAGGGCCAGAAGUGGCAGAAGAGGGUGGCAGGGAACACUCCCCUGUGUCUCUCAGACGAAGACCUCCAGAAGAUGCAGCUGCUGGCUGCUGGGUGGGUGGUCUCCAAAAUCUGU